GGAGAGCAAGAAAGGAAAUGGGGUAAGAGGGAAUGAAGCAGCUAGUUGGUUCUUGAAAAUCAUAGCUGCUAAUCAGAGUUCUGUUAAUUCAGAUUUCUGUUAUCUUGGGUUGUCUUCUGUACACUGGCAUUGGAACUUUUGAGUUGAAUAGUAACUGUAGCUGCAGCUGUGGUUUGUGUCUGGCAGAGCAGGGACUUGGUAGUUGAGCACUUUAAAGUGUAAAAUUUCCAGUAUUUUGCAAGAAUAAAUCCAGUUGUUUUUUUGUUCUUUGCUGGAGUCAUGGCAACCUUGCCACAUUCCAACUCCAGGCGCAAGUACUCGUGGUGGUGGGAUAGUCAUAUCCCUAAGAACUCAAAAUGGCUUCAAGAGAAUCUUACUGAAAUGGAUUCUAAAGUGAAGGCAAUGAUCAAGCUCAUUGAAGAA
rnacentral:misc_RNA from 1 species